CAUUCCCAUUGUGAUCUGCAAAUGGCAAAUCAGGGUUGCUCUUUGUUAAAACCAAAAGCGCUCUCAGAAUGUUGAUGGAGGUGAUGAUUGCAGGGGCGAUGCUUCUGGAGAAUAGCUCCCCCAUCUUCCCCAGGGCCUGGGCAGAGAGAGGUGGAGCUCGGAGUCCCCCCAGUCCUCCCGCGGGUGCUGGCGUCUGCAGCGCCAUCGGGACGGGAUCCACGGCGCAGCUCCCUCCUCCAGAGGCCGAAAGCUCAGCCUCCAGUUUCGUGCAGGGUGAUCACCUUUCCGAGGCAAUACAAGCACUUCCCAAGAGCAGCUGGUGAAGAUGGCGCAGAAGCAAGGACAAGGGUGCAGUGAAAAGUUUGGUGCAUCGAUCCAGCUUCCGGACAUGUGAUCUUCUACCCUGCCCCACGGCAAGAAGAGUUUGGUGACUUUGCUGCUCUGCUCUCUCAAGGGUGUUGCAGGCUGCGUAGCAGGGAGUGAAGCCCUUGUCGCUGCUCAUCAGACACUUUCCUGCAGAAUUCUCCCUGCAGUGAUAAAAUUAGACUGGUGUUAGUGAGCUGCCAAGUAGAGCAGGUAACAUUGGACAAGAAUUGUUUCUGAGCUGCUGUUCACUAGCACGUGUUUCCCCUUUCCAGCGCGGUGCCGCCGCCCAAGAAAGGAUUUUUGUGGGUCAGCCAGAUGUGCUCCUGCCUCCCACUGAGGCUCUGAGAUGGAGCCGAGUUUGCAUUCCAGUUUAUUGCAACAGAGGGUCACGGGAAAUUUCCUCAGCUAUCUCAGGCACAGAGCCAUGGAAGCAAGACAGCACGAAGACUGAACGUGUAAGAAGAUGUGGGGUGCAAUGGAGAACCUGGGAGGAGCAUCCGACGCACACGUGCACGAGUUUUGCUUUUUGCUUGGAUUGAAACUCAAAAGUUGUAAGGAAUUUGGGAAUGAGAUGGGACGUUUCAGAAGAAGAGGAAGGAGGAGAAGAAGUUGUUGUUACAGUGUUACAGUCCUGGCAAAAUCCUUUGUUCUAGCUAAUAAAAGAAGUUAGUUAAAAAAAAAAAAUUAAAAAAAAAAAAAAAAGUG